GCGGGAGUAGCUCAGCUGGUAGAGCACUAGCCUUCCAAGCUUGUGGUCGCGGGUUCGAGUCCCGUCUCCCGCU
rnacentral:tRNA from 1 species